rnacentral:lncRNA from 1 species
CUGCUACUUUCCCUGUGGCCUAGGCUUUGCCUAUUUCCAGUGGGCGAGCUAGCUAGAUCCUCCUCCCUUAAAUAAGCCAGUGUUUUUAAGACAGAAUACUACUUGCAUAGUGGACAAUAAUAUCUUAAAGAACUGAGCAGGAUGAAAAGAAUUUGAUAGAAAGCAGGUUUGAGGAGCACAUUGGAGGUUGGCAGGUUUCGAGGCUGCUUGAGAGGACUUGGGCCGAUCUGGGCUGGGCUUGGACGUGACCCUGGCACCCAGGCAGGUGGAUCCCAGCUGGGGCUUCCAUUCACGACUUUCUGGUCCCUGGCAGGACAGAGCGGGAUGCCACCAGCUUGUCCAAAGGGAAGUUCCAGGAGCUCCUGGUGGGCAUCGUUGUGGAGAAUGACGCUGGCCGCGGCGAGAUCAACGAGUUGAAGCAGGUGGAAGGGGAGGCUUCGUGCAGCAGCCGCAAAGGAAAGCUGAUUUUCUUCUAUGAGUGGAACAUCAAACUGGGCUGGAAAGGCAUCGUUAAAGAAUCUGGAGUGAAGCACAAGGGAUUGAUUGAAAUACCCAAUCUUUCUGAGGAAAAUGAAGUAGAUGACACUGAGAAUUUACAACGGGAAUGAUUUUACCAACGAAAGCUAUGGCAACCCAGGAAUUGACUGUCAAAAGAAAACUGAGUGGGAAUACCCUGCAGGUUCAGGCCUCAUCUCCAGUGGCACUGGGUGUAAGGAUUCCCACUGUGGCUCUUCACAUGAUGGAACUGUUUGACACAACUGUAGAGCAGCUGUAUAGCAUCUUCACUGUAAAGGAGGUAAGUAACUCCCUAAGCUAGCAUGUUAAGUGCUGACAUUGGGAGAAAAUACAUUACAAAGAACAGGAGCUGGUUUUUGGUUUUCCUUGUGGCUGUGUUUUUGAUUGAAGGGAUGUGGGAUGGUGGUGACAGAAGUCUGAGCAUAGUUUCUGAAUAAUUGGAGGGGAGAUGGGCAUUCUUUGGGACUAUGUCCGCAUUACAUUGAGUUUUCUCCCUCUAGGAAGAGAGAGUUUGUGUUUUAUUUUCUGUAAGUAAAAGCUACAUGUUUAGGAUUUUUAAACCAUAUUAAUUGUUAUAUUUUGUAUUUCAUAAUUAUAUUAUGUGUUAGUGUGUACUGGAAUAACAUGUUUUAUUUGGUUAGUUGGUGCAAAAGUUUUCUAAAUCUACUGCUGUAUUAGAAACUGAAAAGGGAGGGAAAUUCCAGAUGUUUGAUGGGAACAUCACUGGUGAAUAUCUAGGAUUGGUAAGUAGACUCAAGGUUGAAGAAGUAAGGUGGGAUUAACUCUUAAUAUUACUUUUUGUAUAUGCUGUUUUUAGCACCGAAAUCACGAGGGUCUGUGUUGCCUCAACCUUAACAGCAGCCCUCUGUUCUGGUUACUAUUACUGUACUUAAAACAUUAUUAUAUAUUCCUGCUGUCCUUGAUGUUACUGCUGUUCUGAGACAUUUUGGCAAUAAAGACAAUUAUCAGUGGUGCUGAUGUAUAAACUGGAAGAAGGACCGUAUGUUGUUCAUUGAUUCUUCUAGGAGUUUCAAUGAAAGGAUUUUUCUGUGUUGUAUUGUGGGAAGUCUUAAAAGAUUUUCAGUGGAAUUUCCCCUCUCUUUUCAGUUAACAAAUAAGAAGAUCAUCAUGAAAUGGAGAUGUGGGAACUGGCCAGAAGAACACUAUGCCAUGGUUGCACUGAAUUUUGUGCCUACUCUAGGGCAAACAGAAUUACAAUUGAAGGAGUUCCUAUCUAUCUGUAAAGAAGAGAACAUGAAAUUCUGUUGGCAGAAGCAGCAUUUUGAAGAAAUAAAAGGUUCACUGCAGCUGACCCCCCUAAAUGGUUGAAUUAAAAUUUAUUAUAAGGCAUUACUUUUUGUAAGCGGAAAAAGUGUCACAUUUACCUCUUCCCUAUCUUUUGUUUAAAAGGACUGUCUUUAUUUUAUAUUGGAUGAAAUCUAUGAACAUAUAUAC